UAAGGAAUAUUGGUCAAUGGACGCAAGUCUGAACCAGCCAUGCCGCGUGGAGGAUGAAGGUCCUCUGGAUUGUAAACUUCUUUUAUAUGGGACGAAAAAAGGUCUUUCCAGAUCAACUGACGGUACCAUAUGAAUAAGCACCGGCUAACUCCGUGCCAGCAGCCGCGGUAAUACGGAGGGUGCAAGCGUUAUCCGGAUUCACUGGGUUUAAAGGGUGCGUAGGCGGAUUGAUAAGUCAGUGGUGAAAUCCCCGAGCUUAACUUGGGAACUGCCAUUGAUACUAUUAGUCUUGAAUACCGUGGAGGUCGACGGAAUAUGUCAUGUAGCGGUGAAAUGCUUAGAUAUGACAUAGAACACCAAUUGCGAAGGCAGUUGACUACGCGAGUAUUGACGCUGAUGCACGAAAGCGUGGGGAUCAAACAG
rnacentral:rRNA from 1 species